ACAAAGUUUGAGAGUUAAGAGUGUUUAGGAGAACACAGAGAGAUAUAAGGCUUUCAAGGCAUUCAGUUUCGAUUGAGUUUGAAAAUAAUGUUUUGGGUGCUUGAAAAAAUAUAGAGUGUUUUUGGAAAGUUUUUUGAGAGAAGAGUACUAUUUCACUACUCUUAUAGAUUAACUUUGAGUUCUUCUCUCUUCUAAAUUUCUGGAGCAUUUAUGAAAGUUUACUGGUUCUAUUUCAUAUUAGUUUUGGGUUUUUCAUUCGAGGCUCAAUUGAGUUGAUGCUGGGUGAUUCUGUCUGUUGAAUAUGCUCUAUGACUUCCUAUUUUAAUUUCAACGUAAACGUAAGGUGUUAUAGUUGUUUUUACUUCUUCCUGGGCAUUUGGACUGUGGUUUAGCCUUGAAUUUGGCUCUGUUUGUUCUUGGUGACUGUCGAUCUGCUGUUACAUUUGUUACUGCUGCUGUUGAUCUUUCUUCUUCUUCCAUUGUAAAGUGAUUUCCAGGUAGACAACUUGACAUUGAUAAUUGAGCUGAAAUUAUGAAACAUGAAUAUAUGAAGAGUUGAAACAUGUAUUUUCAUUGAGAUUUCUACAUGAUUCAUGUAGCUAAGCACAUAAGUCAAUGAUGUAUGUGUAUUUCUGUUUGAUUUUGCAAUAAGUGGACUGCAAUACUCAAAAACGUAACAAAUUCUUCUUAUGUUGAGAACAAAUGCACUUAACUUCAUGACUAUAUUAAUGUAAUGGUUUAUGUUAGCUUUAGUUGAUUUUCUGUCAGUUGUUUCAGAAAUUUCUUAAAAAAGUGACUUAGAAACGUGG
rnacentral:lncRNA from 1 species